CUCUGUCUCAAACAAACAAACACCAGACAGGGAGACAGAGAGAGCAGGAGGGGAGUGGGAGCUCUGGAAGGCAUCUGAGAGCCAGGCAGGGACACGCCUCUGUGGACACUGGGAGGUUCUGGGACCUUAGCUCCAGACAGGCCGGUUACUUUGUAACCCCCCACUGUGUCCUGCAGCUGAUCCUUCAGGAGAGAAGGGCUAGAGACUGGUGUUCAGGGUCAGUGAGCACAUAAACAGAUGUCCUGGGAGUCAUUUGGGAGAGAAAAAGAGGACAUCCCAGGUUUUUGUGCCCACAGGAAAGACAAUAUCACUCUCACCACAUGAUUGAAAGAGCCAAGUAUGAGAAGAUAAAUGAGGAGACGCUUGGAGAAGUACAGGGGCACCACCAACACUUAAGCCUCCAUCUUCAGGCAAGAAAGUCUGUGAUAUGAAUGAAGGGAUCAUAAAAGGCACAUGGAAUCAAAGCUUUUGGUCAACUGCCAACAAGGUACAGAGGCCCAACAGCAAUCAUCGAAUGAACUUGGAAGUGGAUCCUCUCACCCCAGUUGAGCCUUCUGAUGACUGCAGCCCUGGCUGAUGCUUGACUACAACUUCAUCAGAAAUCCUCAUGAAGAUCCAGCACCUUCCAGUUAGCCCAUCUAUGAGAAAACCAAUGCUCCGAUGAGUGCAGUGACUUCCCAUGCCUGGUAAGUGGCAGAGCUUGGAUUGACCUUCCUGUCUGUUGGAUUCCAAAGCAGAGGGACCUGGGUUCUGUUUUCCCAGCUGGAAUGUCCCCAGCUGCAGGAUGAAGGCUGAGGAAAUGGGGACAUAAAAAGGAAACCUCUUUCUCUGAUGUGUUUUCUCUCCUCCCCCCUUUUUUCAUCCCAACCACAUUAGUUAGCACUUACUACAUCUAUUGUACAUAUGUGAUUCAGGGACAAGUAGGUUUAUUAGCAACAACAUGGGAGCCUUAGGAGGGGGAUACCUGGGCUCUUGAGUGACCUUGGGCAAGUUUCUGCACUUUUCUGGGCCUCAGUUUCUUUACCUACUACAUGGCAAUAAUAAUCCCUUUCCUGCCUUCUUCACCAGGAAACCAUGAGGACGGGGUGUAAAGGGACUGUGUAAAAUGUGAAAUGUAGUGAACACUAAAAGGUGUGUUUGGACUAAGGAGCACCCCUGACCUAGGGCUCAGACCUGUACAGCCACCUCUGUACAGAGGUGAGGGCUCCCUCUCCUCUCUCACCUGGGGCUAGGUUCGGGAGGUGGACAACACUGAGUGGCAUUGAGAGCAUCAACCCACUUUCUUCAGCCUCACCCUCUCCAUGCCUUCUCUCUUAGGCCAUGCUGCAGCCCUGCUAAACUAGUGGAAAUACCCCAAGCCUGCCAGGAGGUUUCUGUCUACUUUGUCUGUGCAGUUUCUUCUGCCUUGACACCCUUCCCAACUUCUCUUCCUGGUGCAUUCCCACUCGUCUUUCAAGACUGACCUUAGAUAUCCCACUUCUAGGAUGCCUCUCCUGACCUGGCUGUAGUCCUCCUACUUCUCUUGAUUGUUGCACCUGCCCCCUGCCUGAGCUCUUGGCCUUCAGCUUCUCUUUUCCACUCAAAGCCCCCAUGGUGCAACCAGCGGCCUUUCCAAAAUGCAAAUCUUGUCAUGUCACUCCCUGCUUAAAAUAACUGGCCAAUGGAAUAAUCCAUCAAUCAGUGCUUCAGGGGUUCCUCCUUGCCCUCAGGGAAGCAUCCACACCUUCAGCUGGGUCUCCAUGCUUGGUCCCUGCUGGUCUUUCCAGCCUCUGCUCUCUUCUGUCUCCUGAUUGCCCUGCACAUGCAGUGCCCUCCAGCCACAUUGCUCUUGUCACUGUAUCUCAGACACACCUCUCUCUAUCUUUGCUCGUCCUGUUGUUUUUCCUGCCCAUUUCCACCUUGUCCACUUGAGGAAGUCCUGCCUAAUCCUUAACACCAGGUCUGAUAUAACCUCUUGGAAGCCUUCCCUAUUGGCCCCAGGAAGAGUCCUUGGCUUCCUCUUCUUCCCUCUCCUGUAUGACUACUCAUGCUUUUGUUACUGUUUGUCGUCUGUUUACACUGAGAGUUUCCUGAGUAGAGACUGUAUCUGACACAUGGUUGUGUCCCCAGCAAUGCCAGGAGAAGGGCACAGAGCAGACAUGUAGGAUAUGUGUUGCUCAUGUGAGUGGCUGAAUGAAUGAAGGAAGGAAGGGUGAAUGAAUCCAACCUUGAACCAUCACUUCUUGGCCAGCCCUAGAACUGCUGUUUCCCAGGGUAAGCCCAUUUGAUAGCCAAAGGGGAAGUAGAAGGGAGGGACUGCUCUAGGAGGGAGAAAGAAAAUCAAUAAAAAUGUAAAUCUGGUUGAGAAAAGCUGUCCCAAGCUGGCUGUGGGGAGAGAUAAGACUGGGCUGGCUGAGCCCUGGCUGACAGUGGAGGAGAGAUUGGGGACAACGGAGCUGUGGCCAGGGUAGGGCAAAGGAGGUGUGUUCCUCCCUCUGUUGUCACUUCCCCCUCCGACUCUGAUGCUCUAUGUGUUUAUGAAAUUUUUUCAGGGACAGAAGGGGAAGGGAGCUUACAAAUCCUGAUCAUCAGGUGUGGUGCCUGUGAGCAUGUACAUGAUCUUACCCGGUCCUCACAGCUUCUGGGAGAUAGGAGCUAGGCAUGCUCAACCUCACUUGCAGUGGAGAGUCUAUGCCUUUGAUUGGAUCCCCAGAGGUGGUUUUCACUUGCCCCCCAUUGCCUAUACCAUGUUGCCUUCCUGGAGUUGGUGGCCUUUGAGCUGGGCCUGGAAGAUUGGGUAGGACUUUAUGAAGUGGGGAUGGAGAGACAAGCUGUGCGAUGGGGAUGAAGAAGAUAACCCAGGUCAGAGGGAACAGCAUAAGCAAAGGUAUGUGAAGGGGAAAGAAUUCAACACCUCCAGGCAAUGGUGAGGAUGUCGCUGAGUUCUCUUUCACUUAUCUGCAUGUCAGUCAUGACCCCUGGAUGCCAGCUCCUGAUGGGUCAUCUGCCUACCCUAGAACUUCCCAGCAUCUAGCAUCCCAGACCUUCCCAGAGUCUACAAGAAAAGAAACCUAGGCAUCAGGAUGUCAGUUCUGGUCUGAGUCCUGUCCUCUGCUGACUUUACACCAGCACAAUCUAGCAGGGAGACUUAAUGUCUUCUCCUCCCAGCUUCCUGGUACAGUGUAAGAAAGUAAGCUUGCAGAUGCAAAUGCUUGUGGCUCUUCAUUGACCAGAGGCUAUAUUAGGGGAGAGGACUUCCCUGGGACCCCCACAGGGCCUGGAAAACCCCUCUGGCCCUGACUUGCUCCACCCCUUGGCUCUUGACCCAUUUCUCUCUUGGGUAACUCCUGAGUCUCCUCACCAUGUCCAGUUUGGAAGACUUUAGGCACAAGGACCUCGUCUUUUCCUUCAGAUCUUGGCUCAACCAAGAGGCGGACUCACCGUGAUGUGAAUGCAGCUUGAGCAUCCAGGACUCUCCCCAGAUCCAGGGAGGGCCUCAGCGAUGUGUUCACGUUGUCAUAUUUUUAUAAAAUUUGCAAAGGUAAGAUACUUUAACCACAAUCAAAAUUACUAUUUUCUUCCCACUCCAACUUCCCUUGUGUUUCAAUUUUCCUUUAUGUGGGAUAAUUGGAGUGGCCAUGGGCACUUCUGGGAUCUGACCAAGGGGAAGCUGAGUGGGGGACUGAUUUGAGUUGGGUUCACUGGGAUAUGUUUAUGUGGUUUUCUGAAACAGAGGAUAUAUUAAUAUUUAUGUGGUUCUCUGUGUAUAGAUAAAUCAUUGCUAGUAAUCUCUGUGUAGAGAAUAGCUUCUAGGAAUUCUACCCACUGCCCAGCUCACUUGGCAUGGUGAUAUUAAGUUGCCAUAUGCAGAGGUCAUAUCGUGAUAUGAAUGUGUGUCAUGGCACCCAGCCCAGGAAGUAUAUGGGCAGUAGACAAGAAACAGGAGAAACCAGGUUUGAAAUGUACAGAGCCAGAAGCUAGUCUGUGGAAAAUUCUUCUAAUCAUCAGGGGGAGAAAAUGUGUCUCAGAGGUUAAGCAGGGCAGUUAAUAAAAGUAUUACGCAUUUUGGGGGGAUUGUGUGAUGUAUCUGUUUUGAUUUCUUUUCUCAUUAUAGGUAAAUAUAGGUACCUUGUACCUAAUUUUAUAUUCAUAAUUUUGUAUAUUUUUCUUAAAGAGGGCUCCUCAAAUUAUAAAACCUUCAGUUCCCACAAGGUCUACACAUCCAACCUUGGCUCCAUCAUUUAUUUUCUGUGUGAUCUUGGGGAAGUCACUUGUGCUUUCUGAGCCAGUUUCCUCUUCUAUAAAAU
rnacentral:lncRNA from 1 species